rnacentral:rRNA from 1 species
UACAUGUGUAUUUAACACGAACCGCGUAUGGCUCAUUAUAACAGCUAAAAUUUACUUGAUUUUGAUAUAAAUCCUACAUGGAUAACUGUGGUAAUUCUGGAGCUAAUACAUGCACAAAAGUUGAAUYUUUACAAAUUCAAUGCGUAUAUUAGUACUAAAACCAAGCAUCUUCGGAUGUUUUUGUGUUGAAACUGAAUAUAUCAUGCUGAUCGUAUGGUCUUGUACCGACGACAUAUCAUUCAAGUGUCUGAUCUAUCAACUUUCUAUAUAAGUAUAUAGUACUUAUAUGGUUUUGACGGAUAACGGAGUAUUAGGGUACGACUCCGGAGAAAAUGCCUGAGAAACGGCGUUUACAUCCAAGGAAGGCAGCAGGCGCGAAAAUUACCCACUCUCAGUACGAGGAGGUAGUGACGAGAAAUGACAAGAUCUAUUCCAUAUGGGAUGGAUCAUUGGAAUGGUUUGAUUUUAAAACCAUUAAAGAGUAUCAAUGAGAGGGCAAGUCUGGUGCCAGCAGCCGCGGUAAUUCCAGCUCUCAUACUGCAUUGAAUUGUUGUUGCGGUUAAAAAGCUCGUAGUUGGAUCUGUACACAAUAGGACAGUUCAUCCUUUGGAUUGUAACUGUUACUAGGUGUUUUUUAUAAGAUUUUGCUUUCUUUACGGGAAGUAUGUCUUAUGAGUUUACUUUGAAUAAAUCAGAGUGCUCAAAACAGGCGUAAGCUUGUAUGGUUUUGCAUGGAAUAAUAGAACAUGACUAUGGUUCAUGUUUUCAUUGGUUUUACUUACCAUAGUAAUGAUUAAAAGGAACAAACGGGGGCAUCCGUAUCGCAGGGCGAGAGGUGAAAUUCGUGGACCCUUGCGAGACGAACUACAGCGAAAGCAUUUGCCAAGAAUGUUUUCAUUAAUCAAGAACGAAAGUCAGAGGAUCGAAGGCGAUCAGAUACCGCCCUAGUUCUGACCGUAAACUAUGCCAUCUAGCGAGUUUCGGGUGGAUAUUUUAUAUUUGCCCUUGAAACGAGCUUCCCGGAAACGAAAGUCUUUCGGUUCCGGGGGAAGUAUGGUUGCAAAGUUGAAACUUAAAGGAAUUGACGGAAGGUCACCACCAGAAGUGGAGCCUGCGGCUUAAUUUGACUCAACACGGGAAAACUCACCCGGUCUAGACACUAUAAGGAUUGACAGAUUGAUAGCUUUUUCAUGAUUUGGUGGAUGGUGGUGCAUGGCCGUUCUUAGUUCGUGGAUUGAUUUGUCUGGUUAAUUCCGAUAACGAACGAGAUUGGAACUUAAUUAAAUAGAYARAUCUUUUAUUUAUAUGAGAUUUUURUCUUCUUAAUGGGAUUUGCGGCGUUCCAGUCGUAAGAAACCCAGCAAUAACAGGUCUGUGAUGCCCUAAGAUGUCUGGGGCUGCACGCGCGCUACAAUGAAAAUUGCAGCGCGUGUGACCAUUUCUGAAAAGAAUUGGUAAACGAGUCAAAUUAUUCCGUAUUUGGGAUAGAACAUUGUAAUUAUUGUUCUCGAACGAGGAACUUCAAGUAAGUGUAAGUCAUCAGCUUACGCUGAUUACGUCCCUGUCCUUUGUACACACCGCCCGUCGCUGCCCGGAACUGGGUUAAUUCGAGAAGAUUGAGGAUUGUUUGUAUUUGAGAUGCUUCGGUAUCYCAAUACUGAUGAAAAUCAAUUUGAUCGCAU